AUUGGAGCAAGAACAAAUCAAUCCUAGUGCCUUUGCUAUGGCUGUCGAAGCACAGUGAAGGGAGAUGAAUCUACAUGCAAAGUGAAUCAAACAUAAGAAUUGAUCCAGUGCCUUCGAUUCAGGGCAAGAUUAAAUCAAAGAACAAGAAAUCAUAGAGCUGGAAGAAUAAGAUGAAACAACAUGCAAAGUAGAUUGGGCAUCAACAACAAUUCAAAGAAGAAGAAAUCGAAGAAGAAGAAAGAAGAAAAGGGGGUUGCCACAGAAGAAGAAGAAGAAGAAGA
rnacentral:misc_RNA from 1 species